UAUGCUUCUCCUAAAGACUAAGCCAUGCAUGCCUUCGAAUAGGAGGAAGCAAUUCUCUCUGAAUCUGCGAACGGCUCCGCAAACCAGUUGUAAACUCGAGUAAGCUAGUCUAGCGUGGCCUUCACGGGUCGCUCUGGGCGAUAUGGAUACCCCUGGUAAUUCUGAGGCUAAUACAGGACCGCAAAACUUGGUCAACCGGGCUUAGGCUUGGGAGGCUGAGGGAUGUGUGACCCUAAGGCUUGGGUUUGACCAGGAAGGGGUGCACUUUCAGACCGCGUUACAAAGGAUCGGAUCCCUCUCCCUCGGGAGAGGGGACUGGCCCCAGCGGCUCUUACUGUGUGCUUCUGACCUAUCAACUAGACGGCAGCAUAAAGGACAUGCUAUGGUUACAACGGGUACAGAGGGUUAGGGUUCGAUCCUGGAGAGUGGGCCUGAGAGAUUGCUCAUACUUCUAAGGAAGGCAGCAGGCGCGCAACGUUCCCCUUGGGCAAUGCCCGAGGGCGUUAGGGGACAUAUGAAUGCCUGCCCAUUGGGUGGGCAAUUCAAAUGGGUCUGUUCUAAACAGGCUCUCGAGUAACAAUUAGAGGA
rnacentral:rRNA from 1 species